rnacentral:lncRNA from 1 species
CUAAAACUAAGAGAUUACCGUUAUACUGACAUCUACAGAGGAAGGGUAAUUAGUAUACUGGCAGUUUUCAGAAAACAUAUAAAUAAGUAAGAAAGAAACAAAAGAAAGGGAUUUGAAGCAAGACCAAUGUUUUUGCAAACAGUCUCAAAUUUAUGUACAUAAAUGAGUAAAAAGACGCUUAUAUUUGGAACCACCUUUAUAACGGUCUUUUAUAAUCAGGAUGGAAUGAUAGGUACUUCAAAAUUCUAACAGAAAGUGAAUAAACAAGUUGCACUAAUAGUCAUUGCAUACAUGAUCUCUCUCGAAAUACGGAAUGUCAAUGACAAUACUAUUCCUUUUUCCGAGAGAGCACUUAUGAUUAUGCUAUGAGGGACAAUUAGUUAACAAAACCAAUUGUGCAUCAAACAAUUUCAGUAAUUACCAAAAGUAUACACGUAAAAGCAUGUGACGUAUUGCGAGGUGAAUAUCUAUACUUUUUCUGCAAGUCAAUAUGCUAAGAAAAGAACAAUUACUGUCUAUUGUUUCGGUAAAAAUGUGGUUUCAUUGACUUUUGAAAAGCUGAUAUUCACUUCGGUCGUCAGCCUCAGUGAAUAUCUGGUUUUCAAAGACAAUGAAACCAUUUACUUACCGACCAAAAGACAAUAAUUGUAUAUUUUAAUUUAGGUUAAUUUAAAUCUAUUUAACGUUAAGCAGGAGAUCACCGAUUGAUAAUAGUAUCUUUAUAUUGAUUUUAUAUUUUUAUUUGUUAGAGGCUCUUAAUAAAAAAUCGAGGGAACAAAGGAAGUUUUAUUUUCCUGGAGUAUUUACUCAUAUGUGCAAAAUCAGAAGUUUGAUCAAAUAUACUGGCAAUUAAAAUUCGUAAAA